AAAAAACAAUGUAAUAUUUUAAAACACUGCACAUUUUACAGUGCAGGGGAUGGUAACUUGCUCUUAUAGCCCACAAAAUGUUAGCUAGGCAAACAUCCAUUUUAACAGAACAGAGCCCUGGUGGGCAAGACUUCACACUGAUGGUAAGCUGGGAUUGGGGGACACGCCCAUUAGAGAGUUCAGUCACACUCCUCAACAACUUGGAAUAAACUUUCAAAUACUACACCACCAAAGAGUUCCCCUCAACUCAACCUGUCGUUUGAAUUGGAAAAUAAACUCACACAAUUUAACUGUUUCUCACAUUUUUGAUUAACUCCAGAUUUUUGAAAUUUGCUGUUUAUAUAUAUAUAUAUAUAUAUAUAUAUAUAUAUAUAUAUAUAUAUAUAUAUAUAUAAUGAAAAAAAUUAAAAGAAUACCAAAUGAUAAAAUACCAGUCAAUUAUACAACACAGGUAAAUGAAAAAGAAAGAAGGUGGAACAAGUUGGAAAUAAGGAACAAGGACACUCCCUUUUGACUCACUUUGUGGUGUGGUGGUUUCGGUGGCAGAGUUACAAGUUUUGUGAUAUGGGCCAGAUGUUGAGGAUAUUCAGUAUGCCUACUGAGAUCAGCAACCAUGAUCACGCUUUUUACAAGCGUGAACAUGAACGUCUUCUUAAAGACGCUGCUGCAGUCCCAGCAGAAAAUAUAAGAUCUGUUUUUGAAGACUGGAACAGCUUUAGUAUAAAUGCUGGUGGUCGCUAUGGACAAUACCGGUUUAUAAACACAUGUGUUCUUGACUCACUCCUUGUUGGCCUUCACAUUUGUCACAAGCAAAAUCCAAAAUGUAGAGAACUUUUUCAAACGGAUGCUACAAUUAAUGCUGUCAUGAUAUUUUUAAAUGCAAACAAGUAUAAUGAGGCCAGAUAUCUUUGGUUGAUUAACUUGAAUCUAUUGACUCCAACUACUAGAUUCAAAAUAUCUGAAAUAAUUGAUUUUUGGAGUGAGGUCAAGGACCAUUUACCAGUGUUUAGAGACCUGAUAUGUUCUAAAGCCCAUUUCAGUGGAGAUGAUGGGGUUCAUGGAAUGGAUGAUAUUCUUCAUCAAAGCACCAAAAGAGCUUUUGAACCCUAUGGAAAUGUUAUGCUUUUGGGGAUAAAUUAUAAAGAGCCCAGUGUUAUACUGGUGUCCAAAGAUGAUGGUCUGGACACAGCUCCCCCAAUUUAUGUCACUGACACGUAUGGAAGGUAAGUAAUAAGAACAAUAUGUGUUAAGAAAAUGUUUAAUGUACAUGUUCACAUAAUUGUGCAGACGUGU
rnacentral:lncRNA from 1 species